rnacentral:misc_RNA from 1 species
GAAAUGCGAUACGUAGUGUGAAUUGCAGAAUUCCGUGAAUCAUCGAAUCUUUGAACGCAUAUUGCACCUAUUGGUAUUCCGGAGGGCAUGUCCGACCGAGCGUCACUAGCACCGCUCGAGCCCGCCCCUCGGGGCGGAGGCUCGGUGUUGGGGACCCGCGGGGCGGGCGGCCGCAAGGCCCCCCGGCGCACCCCGCGGCCCUGAAAUGCAGUGGCGGCCCUCCUAGGCAAAGCCCCCAGCGGAGUAGAAUACCUUUACGUCUCGCUCGGGCGCCCUGGACGGGACGGCCUCGAAACCCAACGCGGGGGGUCCACACCCCCACACCCGGUUGGCCUCGGGUCGGACAAGAUUACCCGCUGAACUUAA